rnacentral:SRP_RNA from 1 species
GCUGGACGUGGUGGGGCACGUCUGUAACCCCAGCUAUUUGUGGGGGCUGAGGUAGGAGAAUCGCUUGAACCCGGGAGGCGGAGGUUGCAGUGAGCCAAGAUCACGCCACUGCACUCCAGCCUGGGUGACAGAGCGAUACUCUGUCUCAA